rnacentral:rRNA from 1 species
UAGCUAGUUGGUGAGGUAAAGGCUUACCAAGGCGACGAUCUGUAGCGGGUCUGAGAGGAUGAUCCGCCACACUGGAACUGAGACACGGUCCAGACUCCUACGGGAGGCAGCAGUGGGGAAUUUUGGACAAUGGGGGCAACCCUGAUCCAGCCAUGCCGCGUGAGUGAAGAAGGCCUUCGGGUUGUAAAGCUCUUUCGGCCGGGAAGAAAUCGCAUGGGCCAAUACCCUGUGUGGAUGACGGUACCGGAAUAAGAAGCACCGGCUAACUACGUGCCAGCAGCCGCGGUAAUACGUAGGGUGCGAGCGUUAAUCGGAAUUACUGGGCGUAAAGCGUGCGCAGGCGGUUUUGUAAGACAGGCGUGAAAUCCCCGGGCUUAACCUGGGAACUGCGUUUGUGACUGCAAGGCUAGAGUACGGCAGAGGGGGGUGGAAUUCCACGUGUAGCAGUGAAAUGCGUAGAGAUGUGGAGGAACACCAAUGGCGAAGGCAGCCCCCUGGGUCGAUACUGACGCUCAUGCACGAAAGCGUGGGUAGCAAACAGGAUUAGAUACCCUGGUAGUCCACGCCCUAAACUAUGUCAACUAGGUGUUGGGUGGGUAAAACCAUUUAGUACCGUAGCUAACGCGUGAAGUUGACCGCCUGGGGAGUACGGCCGCAAGGUUAAAACUCAAAGGAAUUGACGGGGACCCGCACAACCGGUGGAUGAUGUGGAUUAAUUCGAUGCAGCGCGAAAAACCUUACCUACCCUUGACAUGCCAGGAACUUGCCAGAGAUGGCUUGGUGCCCGAAAGGGAGCCUGGACACAGGUGCUGCAUGGCUGUCGUCCGCUCGUGUCGUGAGAUGUUGGGUUAAGUCCCGCAACGAGCGCAACCCUUGUCGUUAAUUGCCAUCAUUUAGUUGGGCACUUUAACGAGACUGCCGGUGACAAACCGGAGGAAGGUGGGGUGACGUCAAGUCCUCAUGGCCCUUAUGGGUAGGGCUUCACACGUCAUACAAUGGUCGGUACAAAGGGUUGCCAAGCCGCGAGGCGGAGCCAAUCCCAGAAAGCCGAUCGUAGUCCGGAUUGCAGGCUGCAACUCGCCUGCAUGAAGUCGGAAUCGCUAGUAAUCGUGGAUCAGCAUGUCACGGUGAAUACGUUCCCGGGUCUUGUACACACCGCCCGUCACACCAUGGGAGCGGGUUCCGCCAGAAGUAGGUAGCCUAACCGCAAGGGGGGCGCUUACCACGGCGGGGUUCGUGACUGGGGUGAAGUCGUAACAAGGUAGCCGUAGGGGAACCUGGGGCUG